GAUGAACGCUGGCGGCGUGCCUAAUACAUGCAAGUCGAGCGAACGGACGAGAAGCUUGCUUUUCUGAUGUUAGCGGCGGACGGGUGAGUAACACGUGGAUAACCUACCUAUAAGACUGGGAUAACUUCGGGAAACCGGAGCUAAUACCGGAUAAUAUUUUGAACCGCAUGGUUCAAAAGUGAAAGACGGUCUUGCUGUCACUUAUAGAUGGAUCCGCGCUGCAUUAGCUAGUUGGUAAGUUAACGGCUUACCAAGGCAACGAUGCAUAGCCGACCUGAGAGGGUGAUCGGCCACACUGGAACUGAGACACGGUCAAGACUCCUACGGGAGGCAGCAGUAGGGAAUCUUCCGCAAUGGGCGAAAGCCUGACGGAGCAACGCCGCGUGAGUGAUGAAGGUCUUCGGAUCGUAAAACUCUGUUAUUAGGGAAGAACAUAUGUGUAAGUAACUGUGCACAUCUUGACGGUACCUAAUCAGAAAGCAACGGCUAACUACGUG
rnacentral:rRNA from 1 species